rnacentral:lncRNA from 9 species
GGGAGUGUUUUGCCAAUGUUUCUUUCCUCUAGGAGUUUUAUAGUAGCCAACCUUAUAUUUAGGUCUACAAAGGUAGUUGUUGUUUUUAAUUUUUAUGGCUGCGCCCAUGGCAUAUGGAUAUUUCCGGGCCAGGGAUUGCAUCCCCGCUGAAACUGUGACUUACUCCACAGCUCUAGUAACACUGGAUCUUUAACCCGCUGCCCUAAGCUGCGUAUUGAACCCGUGCCUCUGCAGUGAUCGUGAUCGGAGCCACUGCAGUUGGAUUCUUAACCCACUGUUUUUUAAGAUGAGUUGAAACUCUGGGUGAUGGGAACCAGGCUGGGUAGGUUCAUACUGGGCUCCACAACCUCACCUGGACCUUCGUCUCAGCCUGGGAGGCCCUCAGCGCCCUUUAUCCAGGUAGCACAAGUGCCACGGUGACCCGCCACUGUAGGACUCUCUCAGAGAAGGGUCAACAUCAGCUGGUAGCAGCGCUGCUGCUGCACUGAUGAAGUUUAGGAAGUGCUGAGCUGAAAAGAGCAUGGCGGGGGUAAGUGAAUUGGUGUCAGGCGCAUAAUGCUUCUUGAGUCUUUCCCCCUCCUUUGGUAGGAAGAGCCCUUUCCCUCACAUCCUCCAUAAAAGCUCAAGGAGAAAAGGAUGUUCACCCAGCUAUAUAUCAACCCUGUCUAUUGAGUAGGAGUUUUGGGAAACCAUAUGGAGAAGCACACUUUUAAACAAGGCUUUGGAGCCUGUUAAUAGCAGGUUGGGCAGGGCACAGGAAGAGGCAAAUGAGUGUUUUCCAUAAGAUGCUGCCAGGUGAUAAAAUAUUUAAAACCAGCGCAACACUUGCUCUUCAAGGAAUGGUCUUAAUGAUUCUGUCGGAUAGCUGGGCUCUGUGGACAAGUGGACACUGAGCUUUGUGCUUUAUCAAAAAUCACUUAAUGGGUGCCAUGAAGGGAUGCCAAGAAAGCUUAAUGGGUGCUAGGCCCCGGGCUUAACUCUUCCACGUGACUCAUUUAAUCCUCACAACAAUCUGGUGAGGGAGGCGCUAUUAUUAUCCCCAUUUUAUAGGUGAGGAAACUGAGGUUUGUCCCAAUCACCGAGUUUUGAGACCUGAAGCUUGGCUUGAAAUCUAGGAUUGGAAUCCAAAGCCAGCGUUUGCUCUCUUUACUUCUUUUUUUUUUUCCUAGGGCUGCACCUGUGGCAUAUGGAGGUUCCUAGGCUAGGGGUCCAGUCGGAGCUGUAGCCGCCGGCCUACACCGCAGCCACAGAAACACCAGAUCCGAGCCGUGUCUUCGACCUACACCACAGCUCAUGGCAACGCCAGAUCCUUAACCCACUGAGAGCCAUGAGGUUGUGGGUUCAAUCCCUGGGCUCGCUCUGUGGGUUAAAGAUCCGGGAUUGUCAUGAGCCUUGGUGUAGGUUACAGACGUGGCUCGGAUCCCAUGUUGCUGUGGCUGUGGUGUAGGCUGGCAGCUGUGGCUCUGAUUUGACCCCUGGCCUGGGACCUUCCAUAUGCCACAGGGGCAGCCCUGAAAAGUAAAAAAUAAAACAAAACAAACAAAAACUUUUGUCUACUUUUUAGGGACAUUUAGGACUUUCUAGUUUUUUUUUUUCUGGAUUUUGGCCAGCAAUAUCCAUGCCUCAAUAAGCAUCCUCAGGCCAAUGCCCCUGCACAGGUGUGUGAGCAGCGUUGUGGUUGAUCACACGAUGACAUCCAGGAACAGACGGCCUCACUCACCAGGCCACUCAUUCAGAGACUGCGCUUUCAUCAUCUCUAGGGUGCUGGAGAUGGCAUCCAGGGGGCCCAAGCAGACUUGUGGCUUUGGGAUGUCCCGCGUGUCCAGCUCUCCAGGUUUGAUAGGAACAGACUUCAGCACUGCCGGGUGCUGCAGGGACAUUUCUGGGUGAGGACAAGGGUGUGGAGGGCAGAGGUCCCUCUCUCCAGCCACCAUCCCAUCCCAUCCCCCUGGGGCAGUAAAGAUCAUCAGUC